rnacentral:lncRNA from 1 species
AAAAAUGAAGAUAAGGUGUGUAAAAAUCAAAACAAGUGAAAAGCAAA